GAUGAACGCUGGCGGCGUGCCUAAUACAUGCAAGUCGAGCGAACAGACGAGGAGCUUGCUCCUCUGAUGUUAGCGGCGGACGGGUGAGUAACACGUGGAUAACCUACCUAUAAGACUGGGAUAACUUCGGGAAACCGGAUCUAAUACCAGAUAACAUGUUGAACCGCAUGGUUCAACAGUGAAAGACGGUCUUGCUGUCACUUAUAGAUGGAUCCGCGCCGCAUUAGCUAGUUGGUAAGGUAACGGCUUACCAAGGCAACGAUGCGUAGCCGACCUGAGAGGGUGAUCGGCCACACUGGAACUGAGACACGGUCCAGACUCCUACGGGAGGCAGCAGUAGGGAAUCUUCCGCAAUGGGCGAAAGCCUGACGGAGCAACGCCGCGUGAGUGAAGAAGGUCUUCGGAUCGUAAAACUCUGUUAUUAGGGAAGAACAAAUGUGGAAGUAACUAUGCACGUCUUGACGGUACCUAAUCAGAAAGCCACGGCUAACUACGUG
rnacentral:rRNA from 1 species